ensembl:lncRNA
ACCCCUGUAUAAGGCCGAGGUCUGAGGGCCCCUAGUGCCCCAGAUCCAGGGUUGCAUCCCCUGCGUCCAUUUUGGACGGACGCAUGACUCAAUGUGAAAGUGAAAGCACCGGGACUUCUCUCCCGGCGACGCCCGCGGCACUUCUCCUCUCCCACAAGCCCAGUGAAGACAGGCCGGGACCAUGGCAGGUAAAAAAGGAGUGAAUGUCUUUGUCACCGGGCAGCGCCACGCUUGGCAUAAUGAGUUCAAGUCUCGUCUAGAUAAUCGGGUGGGGUUACAAGAAACUAACAAAGACCAGAGUGACGUAACUCUAGCCUUCUGCACCAUAACCUCUCGGGUCGGGACAGACGUUGAGGGUGCAGUCCAGGGGAUUCCAGCCGAUAAACAUGCUGUCCUUGCAGUCUUCCACUCCACCUACGAAAGAGACUACGUGGUGCCAGAGAGCCGAAGGUUUGCCAAACGAGACAAUAUCCUCGUGGUGGACAUCCUGUUCAACGAGGACGAAGGGAUUAUGAGCGAUCCCAGAAACGAUGCCGCAUUGAAGCAGGUGUCUGAUUUCCUGAUGGGUUACGUGGUGGAGGACUCUGAUGUUUCUCCUGAUGCACCUCGCGGCGGUUCGGUACCACGGAAAUGCUGCUUUAUUGCUGUUGCCGUUAUUGGUGUGGUAAUCAUAACCGUAAUAUUGCUUCUUGCUCAUCACAGUAAGGCUGAUGCAACAUACCACAACCAGACCUCCACCCCAAAUUCAACCGUAUAA